CCAAAGAGAACAAAGAAGAAAAAUGAAACUUGUCCAACCCAAUUACAUGAGGAUUGCGUAGAGCACCAGAGCCAUGGUUGAUGAAGCCUCAUAUGCUAGGGCUUCAAUGGAUUUCGAGGGAUGGGGUUAAGGUUUCGAAGAUUCUGAUGAGGGGGAGGAACGAAAUGCUUCGGAGGGAGGGGAGGGGGGAACCGAGUCUGGGAAGACGAGAGCUUCAUUUCUUAACUGAAUCGAAACGAACCGUUUCACUUCGUGCACACGAAGGCCCAACAGGGACUGCAUCUAGAAUAAUUCUAUAAAUAAAAAAAAGAUAAAAAAAUUCGGUAAACGGACUGAUCAGUCGCAUUACCCAAACAGAAAAGAGUGUCUGUGUGGAAACGAAGAGUACAUUUUUUUGGGUCUCUUGUGGAGGAAGUGGGAUUCAAUAAAAAGAACCCUAGCAUGCCCCCAACGUUUCUUUCUCCUCUCAACUACGCAUGAACCAAUCCUGCCCCAUGUCGGUUUCCAUCGCCGACUUACACUUUGGAGGCUGGGCUUGUGGCUAGUGCGUGUGUGGUGGUCAGAUCAGUGUUGUUCUUCUUCCUCGCUAUGAUUGUUGGCUUCUCGAUCGCUCGUAGAUCCCUCAAUGAAAACGGGAGAUGUCAGGGUUUUUCUUCUUUCUUGGUCUGAUUGCUGGCUUCUCGAUCACUUGUGGAUCGAUCAAUGGAAACGGGAGAAAUGGGUCUUGUGGAAUUGUUCGGCUAUGACAAAGAACUAAGUUUAAUUCCUCCCCCAGUAUCAUCGGAAAAUUGCGGUUGGCAAGAUGAUGAACGCGAGGACAUGACGGAAGAGGAAUACUGCUCUACAGGGAUCAAGUUUUGAAGACCGGUGGCUUUGAUGUUGACCGCAUUCCUGGUGUU